UAAGGUUGAGGUUUGUACCCACUUAUAUAUAAUGAAAGGCUCUAAUCUCUAGUCAACUUAGAUCUCCAACCUUGCUCUACUGAAAUUUCAUAUGUUAAGUGCCUCCAUUCAAACCCUUUUCACCAAACCCAUCACCAUCAUCAUCAAAUUCAUCCCUUCAAUCAUCUUCAACACUGAUAUCUGUGUUAUAUAGCUCAAAACAUAAUUUCCCUACUCAAAAGACACUCUUGUUCAUUGCCACUCAUUUCAAACAACAAAACCCUCAAAUAACUAAUAUGUCCACCAACUUUCCAAAGAUAGUUACCACUGUCUUAUAAAUAUCUUCAGUGGCUAUUUAUGAUUCUCCAAAUAUUUGGUAUAUUGUCAUUUAAUUAUACAGUAGUAGGUAAAACAAAUUUAUUAGCUUUUUUUACCUAUUGUCUUGAAAUGUAUGAUAGUGAUGUCUUUUAUACUCUGCAUAACACACUUUUUUUCUGUUCUAAACAUGUGUCAAAAGUAACAUUCAUUUGGAAAAGUUUAUAUUUACAGUCAGUAGCAGAAAGGUACACAAAUUUAUCAAAACAAAGCCCAACAGGGAAAGAUGAAGGAGGAGGAGACAACAAAAAAAGGUCAAACAAAACAGGACUACAUUAAAAACAUCGACAGAGGUAACAAAAAAAGAGAGAGGAAGGGACAAAUGAAAAGAAACUGAGGCUUGUUUGUUUCUACCAUAGAAACCUUCCUCUCUUGGAAUUGGACUGAGGACUAAUCUGUGGCACAGUGAAAUUAUCAUCCUUCAACCUCGAUCUGCUACCUUUCAUGUUGCUCUCGCUUUGACCAAUUCCUUUAUCCAUCUGUGAAUAACUCAGAAGAGGUGGUGGCGCUUGAGGAACCCAUAUCCCCAUGUUCUC
rnacentral:lncRNA from 1 species